rnacentral:rRNA from 1 species
GUGAAGCGGCAACAGCUCAAAUUUGAAAUCUGAAGUCUUUGUCUUCCGAGUUGUAAUUUGAAGAGGAUGCUUCGGUUGUGGCCUGGGCCUAAGUUCCUUGGAACAGGACGUCGUAGAGGGUGAGAAUCCCGUACACGGCUGCCGGCUUACUUCCAUGUGUAGCUCCUUCGAAGAGUCGAGUUGUUUGGGAAUGCAGCUCAAAAUGGGUGGUAAAUUUCAUCUAAAGCUAAAUACUGGCGAGAGACCGAUAGCGCACAAGUAGAGUGAUCGAAAGAUGAAAAGCACUUUGAAAAGAGAGUUAAACAGUACGUGAAAUUGUUGAAAGGGAAGCGCUUGCAAUCAGACUUGCUCGCGGUUGAUCAACGUUCCUUUUGGUUCGUGCACUCUGCCGUUUGCAGGCCAGCAUCAGUUGGAGCGGUGGGACAAAGACUCUGAGAAUGUGGCUUCCUUCGGGGAGUGUUAUAGCUCAGUGUGUAAUGCCACCAGCACCGACUGAGGUCCGCGCUUUUGCUAGGAUGCUGGCUUAAUGGUUGUAAGCGACCCGUCUUGAAACACGGACCAAGGAGUCUAACAUCUAUGCGAGUGUUUGGGUGUCAAACCCAUACGCGUAAUGAAAGUGAACGGAGGUGGGAGUCUCACGAUGCACCAUCGACCGAUCCUGAUGUUCUCGGAUGGAUUUGAGUAGGAGCAUAGCUGUUGGGACCCGAAAGAUGGUGAACUAUGCCUGAAUAGGGUGAAGCCAGAGGAAACUCUGGUGGAGGCUCGCAGCGGUUCUGACGUGCAAAUCGAUCGUCAAAUUUGGGUAUAGGGGCGAAAGACUAAUCGAACCA